GAGUUUACAACUCCCAAACCCCUGUGAACAUACCACUGUUGCCUCGGCGGAUCAGCCCGCUCCCGGUAAAACGGGACGGCCCGCCAGAGGACCCCUAAACUCUGUUUCUAUAUGUAACUUCUGAGUAAAACCAUAAAUAAAUCAAAACUUUCAACAACGGAUCUCUUGGUUCUGGCAUCGAUGAAGAACGCAGCAAAAUGCGAUAAGUAAUGUGAAUUGCAGAAUUCAGUGAAUCAUCGAAUCUUUGAACGCACAUUGCGCCCGCCAGUAUUCUGGCGGGCAUGCCUGUUCGAGCGUCAUUUCAACCCUCAAGCACAGCUUGGUGUUGGGACUCGCGUUAAUUCGCGUUCCCCAAAUUGAUUGGCGGUCACGUCGAGCUUCCAUAGCGUAGUAGUAAAACCCUCGUUACUGGUAAUCGUCGCGGCCACGCCGUUAAACCCCAACUUCUGAAUGUUGACCUCGGAUCAGGUAGGAAUACCCGCUGAACUUAAGCAUAUCAAUAAGCGGAGGAAAAGAAACCAACAGGGAUUGCCCUAGUAACGGCGAGUGAAGCGGCAACAGCUCAAAUUUGAAAUCUGGCUCUCGGGCCCGAGUUGUAAUUUGUAGAGGAUACUUUUGAUGCGGUGCCUUCCGAGUUCCCUGGAACGGGACGCCAUAGAGGGUGAGAGCCCCGUCUGGUUGGAUGCCAAAUCUCUGUAAAGUUCCUUCAACGAGUCGAGUAGUUUGGGAAUGCUGCUCUAAAUGGGAGGUAUAUGUCUUCUAAAGCUAAAUACCGGCCAGAGACCGAUAGCGCACAAGUAGAGUGAUCGAAAGAUGAAAAGCACUUUGAAAAGAGAGUUAAAAAGUACGUGAAAUUGUUGAAAGGGAAGCGUUUAUGACCAGACUUGGG
rnacentral:rRNA from 1 species